rnacentral:tRNA from 1 species
GGAGGUUUAGCUCAGUGGUAGAGCACUUGCCUAGCAAGCACAAGGCCCUGGGUUCAAUCCCCAGCUCCA